UAGGGAGUUUUCGGCAAUGGGGGGAACCCUGACCGAGCAACGCCGCGUGAGUGAUGAAGGUCUUCGGAUUGUAAAGCUCUGUUAUAGAGGAGAAAUGAUAGCUUCAGGCAAUGGGAGCUGUUUGAUAGUACUUUAUUAGAAAGCCACGGCUAACUACGUGCCAGCAGCCGCGGUAAUACGUAGGUGGCAAGCGUUAUCCGGAAUUAUUGGGCGUAAAGAGUGAGUAGGUGGCAGAUUAAGUUUGAAGUCAAAUUUAUGGGCUCAACCCAUAAAAGCUUUGAAAACUGGUCAGCUAGAGUACGAGAGAGGUAAACGGAACUCCAUGUGUAGCGGUGAAAUGCGUAGAUAUAUGGAAGAACACCAGUGGCAAAGGCGGUUUACUAGCUCGAUACUGACACUC
rnacentral:rRNA from 1 species